UACGUAGGGUCCAAGCAUUAUCCGGAUUGACUGGGUGUAAAGAGUUGCGUAGGUGGCAUGGUAAGUAGACAGUGAAAUCUGGUGGCUCAACCAUUCAGACUAUUGUCUAAACUGCCAAGCUCGAGAAUGUUAGGGGUAGCUGGAAUUUCUAGUGUAGGAGUGAAAUCCGUAGAUAUUAGAAAGAACACCGAUAGCGUAGGCAGGCUACUGGGACAUUUCUGACACUAAGGCACGAAAGCGUAGGGAGCAA
rnacentral:rRNA from 1 species